GUUCUUUGUUUUAUUCUAGCCGAUACGGCGAGUGAGUUGGAGUGUUCGGGCGAGUGCAGUGGAAAGAAGGCAGAGGAUAUUGUUGGCUGGGCGAAGACGGAGACAAGGGUUUGGCAGAAACAGAAACCGGGCUGAGUAUAUUGGGAUGUCUACCUAACUGUGAAAUGCUCCAUGGACAUGUGUAACAAAUUCUGAGUGGUUGAAAACAGGAAGACUCACCGGAAGUAUCGCCGAAGGAGGCCUUUUCGACAGGGCACGUGGCAGCAGGAGAAGUAUCCAGGAGCUGGAAAGAAGAGGGAAAAGAGACCUCGUGUUAGUAACGGUGUGAGUACCCUAAACCAUCGUACAGCAGUAUAAUCAUCUAGAGUGAACUAUCUGUGAGCCGUUCUUGUGAGUUUGUGGCAUAGUAUGUGAGCGGCCCCACCGUGGAGGAGGAUUGUGGGUGAGCCGGGACCAGUGAGCGAGAGAGGACGUUGGGGUGUCGUGGCGGCGACGUUUAAAUCUGAAUAUUCGUGGCAUCAGUGUCUCCACGAUUUCCAGGACGAGUCUUUGGUCAGACGGGGUUUUGACCCUAAAUUCACCAAGAGUGUGUGGAGUGCAGUGGGUGAGUCUUUGUCCUUUGCUGUGAGUGUAUACACUUGAAAAUUGCAGUGUUGUGCUGUGUUGUGUCGUCAACAACCACCUUUCAGGCCCGACGAAAUCCUGUGAAGGAAGUGAGUACCAAGGCAGGCGAAGAAAACAUCUCCAAUUACAUGCCGUCGAUGACAUCCUGACCCUUCUUCCCCACGUGACGGUGGUGGGAAACAAUUUCAAGUAAGAACAGUGUGGAUCUAUUGGGAAGUAUUAAUGGUGAGGAGUUGGCUGCUGUAGGAGGAAAUCAGCUGUGCGUGUAUUAUUACCUGCUGUGGAGUUCUUCAAAGGUUCGCCCCUGUCUAGAUCUCUUGCCUUGUCGGUUGGUAGAAAGAAGAGGGAAGCGUUCGACCCAUCCAGUGUAGUACACCCCGGGUGAAACAACUUACCUGUGUGUGACGCCAGCGGAGGCCGUGUUCGGCCCAACGCAACAGUAGUUUUCGAUCCGCCUCUCUAUCAGCAGUUGGUAGAAGCCUCAGAAAAGGAACGUCUGACGUCUAUUCCCUCGAAGGUCUGUGAGUUACAUCACUUCCUGUUUCCCUGUAUAUUCACCGUAAGCGUAUGCCCAAAGCUAAAGCCAGCAUAUUGUGUUGUACACUCG
ensembl:lncRNA